rnacentral:rRNA from 1 species
UUAAGCUACUAAGAGCACAGGGUGAAUGCCUUGGCACCAAGAGCCGAUGAAGGACGUGAUAAGCUGCGAAAAGCUGUGAGGAGGAGCAAAUAUCCAUUAUAUUCACAGAUAUCCGAAUGAGGAAACUCUAGUUAGGAAAAAAGCUAACUAAUCCAUACAUGAGUAAAGUAGUGUAUGUGAGGGGAACGUAGGGAACUGAAACAUCUAAGUACCUACAGGAAAAGAAAGAAAACUCGAUUCCUUGAGUAGUGGCGAGCGAAAGAGGAAGAGCCUAAACCAAGAGAAGUAAUUUUCUUGGGGUUAUGGACUACAUAAAUGAUUCAAUAGAUUUAGCAGAACUGUUUGGAAAAGCAGACCAAAGAUAGUGAAAGUCUAGUAAGCGAAAAAUCGAAAGACAUGGUAGUAUCCGGAGUAGUGCGAGACACGGGAAAUCUCGUAUGAAAAAGUGGGGACCACCCCAUAAGGCUAAAUACUACUUGGUGACCGAUAGUGGAACAGUACCGUGAGGGAAAGGUGAAAAGAACCCCGGGAGGGGAGUGAAAGAGAACCUGAAACCCUGUGUUUACAAGCAGACAAAGCACGUUAAGGUGCGAUGUCGUACUUUUUGUAGAACGGUCCGGCGAGUUAUUUUAUAUGGCAAGGUUAAGUACUAUUAAGGUACGAAGCCGAAGCGAGAGCGAGUCUGAAAAGGGCGAGUAAGUCAUAUGAAAUAGACCCGAAACCGAGUGACCUAUCCAUGGUCAGGAUGAAGCUUGAGUAAAAUCAAGUGGAGGUCCGAACCCAUAAGCGUUAAAAAGCUUCGGGAUGAACUGUGGAUAGCGGAGAAAUUCCAAUCGAACUCGGAGAUAGCUGGUUCUCCUCGAAAUAGUUUUAGGACUAGCCUUGUUUAGUAGUAUGUGGGGGUAGAGCACUGAAUGAGCUAGGGGCCAAACCAGGUUACUGAACUCUAUCAAACUCCGAAUACCAUGUACGUAAGAACAGGAGUCAGACUGCGGGAGCUAAGUUCCGUGGUCAAAAGGGAAAGAGCCCAGAUCGUCAAUUAAGGUCCCAAAGAUAUAGUUAAGUGGAAAACGAUGUGAUUUUGCGUAAACAACCAGGAUGUUGGCUUAGAAGCAGCCAUUCAUUUAAAGAGUGCGUAAUAGCUCACUGGUCGAGUGGAGUUGCGCGGAAAAUUACCGGGGCUAAACUAUACACCGAAAUUGCGGAUUCAUGAGUAAUCAUGAGUGGUAGAGGAGCAUUCUAUAGUAGGACGAAGGUAGAUCGAAAGGACUGCUGGACGAGAUAGAAGAGAGAAUGCCGGAAUAAGUAGCGAAAGCAUGGUGAGAAUCCAUGCCAUCGAAAGUCUAAGGUUUCCUGGGGAAGGUUCGUCCGCCCAGGGUAAGUCGGGACCUAAGGAGAGGCCGAAAGGCGUAUCUGAUGGACAGCAGGUAGAAAUUCCUGCACCACCGAUAUACUUAAAAAAUGCAAGGGACACAGUAGUGGAAGGAAAGCGAGGAAGAGGAAAGACUCGUAUCGAAAGAUAUAGUGAAAAAAUAAGUAACGAAUUUCCAAGAAGCACACUGGCGAGAAAAGCUUGUAGGAAUUGUAUAAAGGUGCCCGUACCGCAAACCGACACAGGUAGAUGAGGAGAGGAUCCUAAGAUGAGCGAGAGAAGCAUUGUUAAGGAACUCGGCAAAUUGACCCCGUAACUUAGGGAGAAGGGGUGCCAAAGUAAAAUUUGGUCGCAGAGAAGAGGCCCAAGCAACUGUUUAACAAAAACACAGGUUUCUGCUAAAUCGAAAGAUGAAGUAUAGGAGCUGACGCCUGCCCAGUGCUGGAAGGUUAAGGGGAAGAGUUAGAUGUAAGUCGAAGCUUAGAACCAAAGCCCCAGUGAACGGCGGCCGUAACUAUAACGGUCCUAAGGUAGCGAAAUUCCUUGUCAGGUAAGUUCUGACCCGC